rnacentral:rRNA from 1 species
UACGGAGGAUGCGAGCGUUAUCCGGAUUUAUUGGGUUUAAAGGGUGCGUAGGCGGUCUGUUAAGUCAGCGGUAAAAUUGCGGGGCUCAACCCCGUCGAGCCAUUGAAACUGGCAGACUUGAGUUGGCGAGAAGUACGCGGAAUGCGCGGUGUAGCGGUGAAAUGCAUAGAUAUCGCGCAGAGCUCCGAUUGCGAAGGCAGCGUACCGGCGCCACACUGACGCUGAGGCACGAAAGCGUGGGGAUCGAACAGG